rnacentral:rRNA from 1 species
UACGUAGGGAGCAGGCGUUGUCCGGAAUCAUUGGGCGUAAAGCGCGCGUAGGCGGCCCUGUAAGUCCGCUGUGAAAGUCAAAGGCUCAACCUUUGAAAGCCGGUGGAUACUGCAGGGCUAGAGUCCGGAAGAGGCGAGUGGAAUUCCUGGUGUAGCGGUGGAAUGCGCAGAUAUCAGGAGGAACACCAAUAGCGAAGGCAGCUCGCUGGGACGGUACUGACGCUAAGGCGCGAAAGCGUGGGGAGCGAACAGG